rnacentral:rRNA from 1 species
UACGUAGGGCGCUAGCGUUAUCCGGAAUUAUUGGGCGUAAAGAGCUCGUAGGCGGUUUGUCGCGUCUGCCGUGAAAGUCCGGGGCUCAACUCCGGAUCUGCGGUGGGUACGGGCAGACUAGAGUGAUGUAGGGGAGGCUGGAAUUCCUGGUGUAGCGGUGAAAUGCGCAGAUAUCAGGAGGAACACCGAUGGCGAAGGCAGGUCUCUGGGCAUUAACUGACGCUGAGGAGCGAAAGCAUGGGGAGCGAACAGG